rnacentral:rRNA from 1 species
UACAUAGGGGGCGAGCGUUAUCCGGAAUUAUUGGGCGUAAAGGGUACGUAGGCGGGCCUGCAAGUCUGAUUUGAAAGCACACGGCUUAACCGUGUGAGGUAAUUAGAAACUACGAGUCUAGAGAGUGGUAGAGGUAAAUGGAAUUCCAAGUGGAGCGGUGAAAUGCGUAGAGAUUUGGAGGAACACCAGUGGCGAAGGCGGUUUACUGGGCCACAUCUGACGCUGAUGUACGAAAGCGUGGGGAGCAAACAGGAUUAGAUACCCCCGUAGUCCCUGAG